GAUGAACGCUGGCGGCGUGCCUAAUACAUGCAAGUCGAGCGAACGGACGAGAAGCUUGCUUCCCUGAUGUUAGCGGCGGACGGGUGAGUAACACGUGGAUAACCUACCUAUAAGACUGGGAUAACUUCGGGAAACCGGAGCUAAUACCGGAUGAUAUUUUGAACCGCAUGGUUCAAAAGUGAAAGACGGUCUUGCUGUCACUUAUAGAUGGAUCCGCGCUGCAUUAGCUAGUUGGUAAGGUAAUGGCUUACCAAGGCAACGAUGCAUAGCCGACCUGAGAGGGUGAUCGGCCACACUGGAACUGAGACACGGUCCAGACUCCUACGGGAGGCAGCAGUAGGGAAUCUUCCGCAAUGGGCGAAAGCCUGACGGAGCAACGCCGCGUGAGUGAUGAAGGUCUUCGGAUCGUAGAGCUCUGUUAUUAGGGAAGAACAUAUGUGUAAGUAACUGUGCACAUCUUGACGGUACCUAAUCAAAAAGCCACGGCUAACUACGUG
rnacentral:rRNA from 1 species